AGACUUUUGGCGACGGUGUCUCACCGGCCUUUUUGCCUUCCGAGCUGUUUGGGUUUUUGUUUUCGUAGGGUGAGAGCCGGGAUUGUUUGGGGACGAUGGUUAGGCCGGAGUUCCGGAAACUUUCUCUUCCGCUCUUUCCUUCUUUCUUUUUCGUCUUGUAGACGAGUACUCUUUUUCCUUUUUACGGUUUUUCCCUUUGGGUUUUCCGUAAGAAGGUUUUAAUGAGGCUCGGCCCUUAGUCUGCUUUUCUUGUGCUUUCAAGGGUUUUUUUUAGGUUUUUUCUUUUCUUUUUAUAUAAAAUCGCAGUUUAAUUAAUAAUAAUAAUAAUAAUAAUAAUAAUAAUAAUAAUAAUAAUAAUAAUAAUAAUAAUAAUAAUAAUAAUAAUAAUAAUAAUAAUAAUAAUGUACGUGUAAUGUUAAUUUUCAUUAUAUGAAUUAUUUUAUUUAUUUUAAAACAUAAUUUGCAUUUAUUUAUAUUUUUGAUUUUAUUUAAUAUUUAUACUUAUUCAUUUAAAUAUGUCGGUUAUUGUUAUGUUAGUCGUGCAUCGCACGGAUGGCGUACUAGUGUACUAUAGUACAAUAGUACACUUUUUGUUUUGUUUUUCCUUCUCAUUUUCUUUUUCAUUUGUGUUUUAUUUUUUAUUUUUGUUAUUUUUAUUAAUUUAUUUUCAAAACUAUAGUAAUUCCUUCAUAUGUUAUAUUUUAAAUUUUGAGUUCAUUAAAUUUAUUAUGGUAUAAUUUUAUUGAGUAAUUGAUCCAUGUUCUCAACGUAAGAUAUUAUUUCAUAAUUAUAUUUAUUUUUAAUUUUUUUUAAUUUGUUAUUUUCGAGUUAACUAAUUUAUUAUAAUAUAUUGUCCUAUAGUAUAUUUUUAUUGAGUUAUCGAUUGAUGUGCUCAACGUAUGACAUUAUUCCCACAACUAUAGUCAUACAUUUAUGUUUAAUAAAUUUUAUGUUCACUAAUUUGUUACUUCUUAUUUACUUAUUAACAUAUAGUUUUAUGAAAUAAUCAAAGAAAGUAGUUAACAUAUGAUAUUAUUCUAAAUAUUUUAGCUAUCCCUUCCUAUUUUUUUUUCAAGGUCACUAAUUUAUUGUAAUAUAAUGUCCUAUAGUAUAAUUUGAUUUAGUAAUCGAUCGAUG
rnacentral:lncRNA from 1 species